rnacentral:rRNA from 1 species
AGUGAACGCUGGCGGCGUGCUUAACACAUGCAAGUCGAACGAGUAAGUGUCUGUAGCAUACAGAGGUACUGCUAGUGGCAGACGGGUGAGUAAUACAUGGGAAUCUGCCUCGAAGUCUGGGAUAACUACUGGAAACGGUAGCUAAUACCGGAUAUUGCCUAAGGGUGAAAGUUUUUCGCUUCGAGAUGAGCCCAUGCAAGAUUAGCUAGUUGGUAGGGUAAAAGCCUACCAAGGCAAAGAUCUUUAGCUGGUCUUAGAGGAUGAUCAGCCACACUGGAACUGAGACACGGUCCAGACUCCUACGGGAGGCAGCAGUGGGGAAUAUUGGACAAUGGGCGAAAGCCUGAUCCAGCGACGCCGCGUGAGUGAUGAAGGCCUUCGGGUUGUAAAGCUCUUUCAGUAGGGAAGAUAAUGACGGUACCUACAGAAGAAGCUCCGGCUAACUUCGUGCCAGCCGCCGCAGUAA